GCCUAACCGUAAACUUUGACUUAUCCGCCAGAGUACUACGAGCAACAGCUUAAAACUCAAAGGACUUGGCGGUGCUCUAUACCCCCCUAGAGGAGCCUGUUCUGUAAUCGAUAAUCCCCGAUAAACCUCACCAUCUAUUGCCAAUACAGCCUAUAUACCACCGUCCAGCCCGCCCUUUGAAGGCUAAAAAGCAGGCAUAAAUAUAACCAUAAAAACGUCAGGUCAAGGUGUAGCUAAUAAGAUGGGAAGAAAUGGGCUACAUUUUCUAACCUAGAAUACACGAAAAAGUUUUUGAAACAAAACUUCGAAGGAGGAUUUAGCAGUAAAAAGAAAGAAGAGUGUUCUUUUUAAGCCGGCAAUGGAGCGCGC
rnacentral:rRNA from 1 species